CAGUGGUUUCUAUGGUUGCCACCAACAACGAAGCAUAAAUCCAUUCCCAGGUGGGUGGGGCUGUCCUCUCCUUUUCUGGCUCAGAACCCAGCAGAGCUUCCUGGCCUAUAGCAGAGAAGCCUGUGAGGAAGCCAGAGCAGGAAAUGCCAAUCUAUUCGAACACGGGGAGACUAAGGCUUAUGGAAGUUGACUAACAUAACCCAGGUCAAAACUGGGGCAAAGUCUAGACCUUGAGGCUCAUAGUCCAGUACUUUUUCUGCUAAAUCGAUGUUUCUCAAACUUUGGCAUCCAUGGACCGUUUUAAUGGAUGUCUGGUACACACAAAGUGCCAGAAGUCUUAAUGAAUUUUAAAUUGUUACAAAUUUUAAAAUAAUGUAAUAAAACAUUGAAAAAGUAA